CUUUCAGUCUGAGGAAACAGGACUGGCUGAGGAGUUGGCGAGCAUCACAUACUAGGCAAAUCUUCUCCCGAAGUAAUGGUGACAGGGCAAGACAGUGCAGAGGGAGAGAGGUCAGGCAGUUUCCCACUACCACAUAUUCUGCCUGUGGGGAAACGUCAGGGUCAGCACAUCCUCAGUACACCGGAUGGACCUUGCUCUGGCAAACCCACAGAAAAGGAAUUCUACAAGCUGGCCAAUGAGACAGCUGAGUAGGUAAGGGUGCAUGCUGAGCAAACCUGGACACCUGAGUUUAAUCUCUAGAGCCCACAUAAAGGGGGAGAGAAAGAGGCUGAAGGGAUGGAUGGUUCAGUGAUGAAAAGCAUUCACUGCCCUUCCAGAGCAUCAAGGUUCGAUUCCCACAACCGCCGAUAACAUCAGUCCCCAGGAAUCUGAUGCCCUGUCCUCCCUUCCUCGGGCACUGUAUGCGUGUGUGCAAAGUCCUACAGGCAGACCAAACACCUACACACAUAAAAUGAAAAUAAAAGAAGGGAUGGCAUGUAAAACGGAAAAACUAAAAUAAAAUCUU